UACGUAGGGGCAAGCGUUGUCCGGAUUUAUUGGGCGUAAAGAGCGUGUAGGCGGUCAGGUAGGUCCGUUGUGAAACUCGAGGCUCAACCUCGAGACGCCGAUGGAAACCAUCUGACUAGAGUCCGGAAGAGGAGAGUGGAAUUCCUGGUGUAGCGGUGAGAUGCGCAGAUAUCAGGAAGAACACCCGUGGCUAAGGCGGCUCUCUAGUACGGUACUGACGCUGAGACGCGAAAGCGUGGGAGCGAACAGG
rnacentral:rRNA from 1 species